CCGAUCUUUUUCGGUAAAAAUUUAAAUCUUGCUCUCAGGGUUCGCGAGUGGCGGACGGGUGAGGAAUACAUCGGAAUCUUCUCUGUCGUGGGGGAUAAGGUAGGGGAACUUACGCUAAUACCGCAUACGACCUACGGUGGAACGCAGGGGACCUUUUGGCCUUGCGCGAUUGAAUGAGCCGAUGUCGGAUUUGCUAGUUGGGGGGGGAAAGGCCCACCAAGGCAACGAUCCCUAGCUGGUCUGAGAGGAUGACCACCCCCACUGGAACUGAUACACGGUCCAGACUCCUACGGGAGGAAGCGUGGGGAAUAUUGGAGAAUGGGCGCAAGCCUCUUCACCCAUACGGUGAUUGAGGAAGGCCUUCGGGGGCCACCCCCUUUUGUUGGGAAAAAUAGCUGGUAAUACCCGGGUGGGAUGGCUGUUCCGAGAAUGAGCCGGUAACCUCGUGCCGCCGCCCGAAUAAGGGAACAUUCCUCCUAAAUUUCCUGGGCAAA
rnacentral:rRNA from 1 species